UUGGCGGGGUGCUAUACAUGCAAGUCGAACGCACUUCGGUUUUUGAUUGACGGUGCUUGCACCAGAUUGACGAGACAUUGAAGUGAGUGGCGAACGGGUGAGUAACACGUGGGUAACCUGCCCUAAAGGGGGGGAUAACAUUUGGAAACAGAUGCUAAUACCGCAUAACAACGAAAACCACAUGGUUUUCGCUUGAAAGAUGGUUUCGGCUAUCACUUUAGGAUGGACCCGCGGUGCAUUAGCUAGUUGGUAAGGUAACGGCUUACCAAGGCAAUGAUGCAUAGCCGAGCUGAGAGGCUGAUCGGCCACAUUGGGACUGAGACACGGCCCAGACUCCUACGGGAGGCAGCAGUAGGGAAUCUUCCACAAUGGGCGCAAGCCUGAUGGAGCAACGCCGCGUGAGUGAAGAAGGGUUUCGGCUCGUAAAACUCUGUUGUUAAAGAAGAACGUAUCUGAGAGUAACUGUUCAGAUAGUGACGGUAUUUAACCAGAAAGCCACGGCUAACUACGUGCCAGCAGCCGCGGUAAUACGUAGGUGGCAAGCGUUAUCCGGAUUUAUUGGGCGUAAAGGGAGUGCAGGCGGUUAUUUAAGUCUGAUGUGAAAGCCUUCGGCUUAACCGGAGAAGGGCAUCGGAAACUGGAUAACUUGAGUGCAGAAGAGGGUAGUGGAACUCCAUGUGUAGCGGUGGAAUGCGUAGAUAUAUGGAAGAACACCAGUGGCGAAGGCGGCUACCUAGUCUGUAACUGACGCUGAGGCUCGAAAGCAUGGGUAGCAAACAGGAUUAGAUACCCUGGUAGUCCAUGCCGUACACGAUGAAUACUAGGUGUUAGGGGGGUUUCCGCCCCUUAGUGCCGCAGCUAACGCAAUAAGUAUUCCGCCUGGGGAGUACGACCGCAAGGUUGAAACUCAAAGGAAUUGACGGGACCCGCACAAGCGGUGGAGCAUGUGGUUUAAUUCGAAGCUACGCGAGAAUCUUUACCAGGCUUGACAUCUUCUGCUAAUCCGAGAGAUCGGACGUUCUCUUCGGGGACGAAAGAUCUGUGCAUGUGUCGUCAGCUCGUGUCGUGAGAUGUUGGUUAAGUCCCGCACGAGCGCACCUUAUGAUAGCUGCCAGCAUAGUGGCACUCUUAAUGAAGACUGCCGGUAACAACCGAAGAAGGUGGGGAACGACUCAUCAUCAUGUCCUUUAUGUUCCUGGCCUACACACAGGUGUCUUCC
rnacentral:rRNA from 1 species